GAGGGUAUAGCUCAAGCGGUAGAGUGCAUGCUUAGCGUGCACGAGGUCCUGGGUUCAAUCCCCAGUACCUCCA
rnacentral:tRNA from 1 species